CGCCAGGGCCCAUGGAAUGUGGACUUGCAAACCCCGCCAGGGCCGGAAGGCAGCAACGGUAGCGUGCUCUGCAUCUGCCGUGGUGUCCCUGGCAUCC
rnacentral:SRP_RNA from 1 species